AGAGUUUGAUCCUGGCUCAGGAUGAACGCUGGCGGCGUGCUUAACACAUGCAAGUCGAACGCACCUUCGGGUGAGUGGCGGACGGGUGAGUAACGCGUGAGAAUCUGCCCUCAGGAGGGGGAUAACGGCUGGAAACGGCCGCUAAUACCCCAUAUGCCGCGAGGUGAAACGAGUUUUCGCCUGAGGAUGAGCUCGCGUCUGAUUAGCUAGUUGGUAGGGUAAGAGCCUACCAAGGCAUCGAUCAGUAGCUGGUCUGAGGGGAUGAUCAGCCACACUGGGACUGAGACAUGGCCCAGACUCCUACGGGAGGCAGCAGUGGGGAAUUUUCCGCAAUGGGCGAAAGCCUGACGGAGCAACGCCGCGUGAGGGAUGAAGGCCUCUGGGCUGUAAACCUCUUUUCUCAAGGAAGAAGAUCUGACGGUACUUGAGGAAUAAGCCACGGCUAAUUCCGUGCCAGCAGCCGCGGUAAUACGGGAGUGGCAAGCGUUAUCCGGAAUUAUUGGGCGUAAAGCGUCCGCAGGCGGUCUUGAAAGUCUGUUGUUAAAGCGUGGAGCUUAACUCCAUUUCAGCAAUGGAAACUAGAAGACUAGAGUGUGGUAGGGGCAGAGGGAAUUCCCGGUGUAGCGGUGAAAUGCGUAGAUAUCGGGAAGAACACCAGUGGCGAAGGCGCUCUGCUGGGCCAUAACUGACGCUCAUGGACGAAAGCCAGGGGAGCGAAAGGGAUUAGAUACCCCUGUAGUCCUGGCCGUAAACGAUGAACACUAGGUGUCGGGGGAAUCGACCCCCUCGGUGUCGUAGCCAACGCGUUAAGUGUUCCGCCUGGGGAGUACGCACGCAAGUGUGAAACUCAAAGGAAUUGACGGGGGCCCGCACAAGCGGUGGAGUAUGUGGUUUAAUUCGAUGCAACGCGAAGAACCUUACCAGGGUUUGACAUCCUGCGAAUCCCUUGGAAACGAGGGAGUGCCUUCGGGAGCGCAGAGACAGGUGGUGCAUGGCUGUCGUCAGCUCGUGUCGUGAGAUGUUGGGUUAAGUCCCGCAACGAGCGCAACCCACGUCUUUAGUUGCCAGCAUUCAGUUGGGCACUCUAGAGAGACCGCCGGUGAUAAACCGGAGGAAGGUGUGGAUGACGUCAAGUCAUCAUGCCCCUUACAUCCUGGGCUACACACGUACUACAAUGCUACGGACAAAGGGCAGCAAACUCGCGAGAGCUAGCAAAUCCCAUAAACCGUGGCUCAGUUCAGAUCGUAGGCUGCAACUCGCCUACGUGAAGGAGGAAUCGCUAGUAAUCGCAGGUCAGCAUACUGCGGUGAAUACGUUCCCGGGCCUUGUACACACCGCCCGUCACACCAUGGAAGUUGGCCACGCCCGAAGUCGUUACUCCAACCCUUGUGGAGGAGGACGCCGAAGGUGGGGCUGAUGACUGGGGUGAAGUCGUAACAAGGUA
rnacentral:rRNA from 1 species